AUUACGUCCCUGCCCUUUGUACAUACCGCCCGUCGCUACUACCGAUUGAAUGGCUUAGUGAGGCCUCCGGAUUGGGUCUGGGGAACCGGCAACGGUACUCUGGAUCUCGAGAAGCUGGUCAAACUUGGUCAUUUAGAGGAAGUAAAAGUCGUAACAAGGUUUCCGUAGGUGAACCUGCGGAAGGAUCAUUAAUGAAAUCAUAUUCUCCUUUGGAGUUUCUUCUAGCUGAUGCGUCUUUUGGCUGCACGCUGUUGUCACUCUUUAGGGGUUAUAUUUCCACAAACCCUUCUGUGCAUAUUGGGAAGGCUUUAUUGUCCUCUCCUAAUUCAUAUACUCUAAUGUUUAAUCAUGUCAUACAAUGUUAAAUACAUUAAACAACUUUCAACAACGGAUCUCUUGGCUCUCGCAUCGAUGAAGAACGCAGCGAAAUGCGAUAAGUAAUGUGAAUUGCAGAAUUCAGUGAAUCAUCGAAUCUUUGAACGCACCUUGCGCUCCUUGGUAUUCCGAGGAGCAUGCCUGUUUGAGUGUCAUGUUAAUUCUCAAACCUUUGUGUUUGGUUUUGGAGGCCCUGCUUGUCUUAAAGCUCCUCUCAAAUGCAUUGGCUAACUUGGGCUGGAUUAUCUCAGUGUUGUAAUCUACUGCGCUGAAAAAAACUAGCUUCGAGUGGCUGAUUUAACAUUUUCUUGUAAUCUGACCUCAAAUCAGGUAGGACUACCCCGCUGAACUUAAGCAUAUCAAUAAGCGGAGGAAAAAGAAACUAACAAGGAUUUCC
rnacentral:rRNA from 1 species